UACGUAGGGGGGCUAGCGUUGUCCGGAAUCAUUGGGCGAAAGAGCGUGUAGGCGGCCCCGGUAAGUCCGCUGUGAAAGUCGGGGGCUCAACCCUCGGAUGCCGGUGGAUACUGUCGGGCUCGAGUACGGAAGAGGCGAGUGGAAUUCCUGGUGUAGCGGUGAAAUGCGCAGAUAUCAGGAGGAACACCUAUUGCGAAGGCAGCUCGCUGGGACGUUACUGACGCUGGAGACGCGAAAGCAUGGGGAGCGAACAGG
rnacentral:rRNA from 1 species